rnacentral:rRNA from 1 species
UUAACACGUAGUCAACCUGCCCUGGAGACAUGGACAUCCCCGGGAAACUGGGAUUAAUCCGUGAUAGGUCAUCUCAUCUGGAAGGAGAGAUGGCUUAAAGGGAUGCGCGGGCCUCUUCUGCGUAUUUGCUCCAGGAUGGGACUGCGUCCGAUCAGGGUGUUGGCGGGGUAAUGGCCCACCAAGCCAGUAACCGGUACGGGCCUUGAGAGAGGUGGCCCGGAGAUGGACACUGAGAGAAGGGUCCAGGUCCUACGGGGCGCAGCAGGCGCGAAACCUUCGCAAUGCGCGCAAGCGUGACGAGGUUAAUCCGAGUGAUUUCCGCUGAGGAGACCUUUUGUCUGCUGUAAAUAGGCAGGCGAAUAAGGGGAGGGCAAGCCUGGUGUCAGCCGCCGCGGUAAUACCAGCUCCUCGAGUGGUCGGGGCGAUUAUUGGGCCUAAAGCAUCCGUAGCCGGUUCCGUAGGUCCUCUGUUAAAUCCAACCGCCCCAACGGUUGACCUGCAAAGGAUACCGCGAAGACU